rnacentral:rRNA from 3 species
AAAUUGAAGAGUUUGAUCAUGGCUCAGAUUGAACGCUGGCGGCAGGCCUAACACAUGCAAGUCGAACGGUAACAGGAAGCAGCUUGCUGCUUCGCUGACGAGUGGCGGACGGGUGAGUAAUGUCUGGGAAACUGCCUGAUGGAGGGGGAUAACUACUGGAAACGGUAGCUAAUACCGCAUAACGUCGCAAGACCAAAGAGGGGGACCUUCGGGCCUCUUACCAUCGGAUGUGCCCAGAUGGGAUUAGCUAGUAGGUGGGGUAACGGCUCACCUAGGCGACGAUCCCUAGCUGGUCUGAGAGGAUGACCAGCCACACUGGAACUGAGACACGGUCCAGACUCCUACGGGAGGCAGCAGUGGGGAAUAUUGCACAAUGGGCGCAAGCCUGAUGCAGCCAUGCCGCGUGUAUGAAGAAGGCCUUCGGGUUGUAAAGUACUUUCAGCGGGGAGGAAGGCGAUAAGGUUAAUAACCUUGUCGAUUGACGUUACCCGCAGAAGAAGCACCGGCUAACUCCGUGCCAGCAGCCGCGGUAAUACGGAGGGUGCAAGCGUUAAUCGGAAUUACUGGGCGUAAAGCGCACGCAGGCGGUCUGUCAAGUCGGAUGUGAAAUCCCCGGGCUCAACCUGGGAACUGCAUUCGAAACUGGCAGGCUAGAGUCUUGUAGAGGGGGGUAGAAUUCCAGGUGUAGCGGUGAAAUGCGUAGAGAUCUGGAGGAAUACCGGUGGCGAAGGCGGCCCCCUGGACAAAGACUGACGCUCAGGUGCGAAAGCGUGGGGAGCAAACAGGAUUAGAUACCCUGGUAGUCCACGCCGUAAACGAUGUCGACUUGGAGGUUGUGCCCUUGAGGCGUGGCUUCCGGAGCUAACGCGUUAAGUCGACCGCCUGGGGAGUACGGCCGCAAGGUUAAAACUCAAAUGAAUUGACGGGGGCCCGCACAAGCGGUGGAGCAUGUGGUUUAAUUCGAUGCAACGCGAAGAACCUUACCUACUCUUGACAUCCAGAGAACUUUCCAGAGAUGGAUUGGUGCCUUCGGGAACUCUGAGACAGGUGCUGCAUGGCUGUCGUCAGCUCGUGUUGUGAAAUGUUGGGUUAAGUCCCGCAACGAGCGCAACCCUUAUCCUUUGUUGCCAGCGGUCCGGCCGGGAACUCAAAGGAGACUGCCAGUGAUAAACUGGAGGAAGGUGGGGAUGACGUCAAGUCAUCAUGGCCCUUACGAGUAGGGCUACACACGUGCUACAAUGGCGCAUACAAAGAGAAGCGACCUCGCGAGAGCAAGCGGACCUCAUAAAGUGCGUCGUAGUCCGGAUUGGAGUCUGCAACUCGACUCCAUGAAGUCGGAAUCGCUAGUAAUCGUGGAUCAGAAUGCCACGGUGAAUACGUUCCCGGGCCUUGUACACACCGCCCGUCACACCAUGGGAGUGGGUUGCAAAAGAAGUAGGUAGCUUAACCUUCGGGAGGGCGCUUACCACUUUGUGAUUCAUGACUGGGGUGAAGUCGUAACAAGGUAACCGUAGGGGAACCUGCGGUUGGAUCACCUCCUUACCUUAAAGAA